rnacentral:rRNA from 1 species
CUUAGCAGAGAUGCUUUGGUGCCUUCGGGAACUCUGAGACAGGUGCUGCAUGGCUGUCGUCAGCUCGUGUUGUGAAAUGUUGGGUUAAGUCCCGCAACGAGCGCAACCCUUUAUCCUUUGUUGCCAGCGGCUCGGCCGGGAAACUCAAAGGAGACUGCCGGUGAUAAACCGGAGGAAGGUGGGGAUGACGUCAAGUCAUCAUGGCCCUUACGGCCAGGGCUACACACGUGCUACAAUGGCGCAUACAAAGAGAAGCGACCUCGCGAGAGCAAGCGGACCUCAUAAAGUGCGUCGUAGUCCGGAUUGGAGUCUGCAACUCGACUCCAUGAAGUCGGAAUCGCUAGUAAUCGUAGAUCAGAAUGCUACGGUGAAUACGUUCCCGGGCCUUGUACACACCGCCCGUCACACCAUGGGAGUGGGUUGCAAAAGAAGUAGGUAGCUUAACCUUCGGGAGGGCGCUUACCACUUUGUGAUUCAUGACUGGGGUGAAGUCGUAACAAGGUAGGCGUAGCGAG